UACGUAGGUGGCGAGCGUUGUCCGGAUUUACUGGGCGUAAAGAGCGCGCAGGCGGUCGAUCAAGUCGAGUGUGAAAGCCCCCGGCUCAACUGGGGAGGGUCAUUCGAUACUGAUCGACUCGAAGGCAGGAGAGGGUAGUGGAAUUCCCGGUGUAGUGGUGAAAUGCGUAGAUAUCGGGAGGAACACCAGUGGCGAAGGCGACUACCUGGCCUGUUCUUGACGCUGAGGCGCGGAAGCUAGGGGAGCAAACGGG
rnacentral:rRNA from 1 species